UUGUUUCGUUGUUCUAACAUGUUACCUUUUCUCCGUUGAUACCCUGCAAUAUCUUCUUUUCUAGGAGAUGCAUCAGUUCUAAAUAAAGGUUGGAUUUAUAUAGUUGAUUUGUAUCAUUUAGAUUGCAAUAAGAAGCAUGAGUUGCAAGAGAUGCAAGCCAACAUUUUCCAUUAUGCUCGCUAGGACGGUAAGUGAUCUACCCUCUCCCUGUACCUCCUCGUCCAAUUGCAGACUUCAUCACUUGAGUGAUUUCACUUUGAGUAAGCCCUUCUUAUUUUGUAUUGUUCCAUACUGUUGUUUAUCACCCAAAAUACUUUCCAGUACUGGGUGUAUUGUUCCAUGGUAAAUCUAUAGCUGAUGGAACUCUUCAGUGCUGCAAUCAUAUCCAACCUGGACGAGCAGAAUGGCAACUGUCAGGUCACUUUUAUCGUUGGUAUCGCAUCUAAGUAGGGCCGGUCGAAUAUUUUGAAAAUAUUGACAAUAACGAACAUUGAUGCGGCCGAGUCUACACUGAAUAAUCAUGGUUAACUACUGUGUCGACACUUGACACAAGGGGUAAGUUUUCUCACUGACAUUUGAGUUUUCGGUCAGUCAAUGCUAAUCAGUGUAACCUUCAAUUGUGUGCUAAAAUAUGCUUGACUAAUCUUGCCUUCAAUUUUUUUUUCCUGUCAUCUUCAUUUUUUAAAUUCCGAGUUGAUUAUUAAAUGGAAAGUUAGCACACGAACACUGCAAUCAGUUUGACGUAACUUAUGGUAACUACAGUGGGAUAUUAAUUCAAUUUUUUCUAUUUUUUCUUCAAAUAGGUUAAUGUACCCAGCACCAUCACUUCGAUAUCUAACACACUUUUUGUUCAGUAUUUCUCUGGUUUGAUUAGCUUAAACAUAGAAUUAUUGAGAUAUUUAUUAAAAAUUAUCCUAUUUUUGUAAAGAUUAUGUAAAUUUGAAGCAUGAUAUUCUGGUGCAAAAGACCAAAUAGUUACCUGAUUUAUUUACAGACAAGUUCAAUCUCAGAGAUCUCCGUGCAGAAUAUCAAUUAUUGAUGCCUACUAUUCAUGUAUCAAGCUUUGAAAUUUGGAGGUUCUCAUUUUGAUGAGCUUCAUUAGCUCGAGAAGCUGAAGUAUGAUAAUUAAUCAGCCAUGCAUCUCCGAUGAUGUACAUCAACUAUAUACUAUGUAAAAAAAUUAUAGUUUGAUAUAAAUAGGUAAACUUAUCAUCCAUUGUAAUAUCUAAAAAUACAAUUGUAUAAAGUCCAGGAGAGUCCAGGAGAUAUUUCUUUUUUUUUGAAGACAUGUCUAAUUUUCCACAUUUUCUUUCGUUUGAUAGGAGAUUGUGUAAUUUGAAGAACUUUUAUGUCCUAACAUUUUA